CCGCAUGUGUCCCGCGCGCUGUCUUCUAGCGCCGCAUCAACUUGCAGCAUGCAGCGAAGUCCAGUUUAGUUUAGAUCACAGUUACAGCACUCGUUGUGCCUGGUAGUCCGAUAAGCUGUAGGUACAUUGGUUUGCACAGAAAAUAAAUGUUGUUUAAAAAAGUGAGAAACAAUUUUUUAAACAUAUAAAAAACUUAAUGGAAAUUGAAAUCGGAAAAUUGUUAUAUUUAAUACACAUUUAUUACCUCUUCGCCGAAGAUA